GAAAGAAGUCUUCCAUUAAGAGAACAGGAGGGUUAUUAACAGAAGAUACAGGAAAUAGACUGUGGGUAAGCAGAAAGAGCAGAUGUCUACUACAGCCACCAAGAUGGACAUGGAAAGCAAAGAACAGUCCUCCCAUUCACUGUCUUAUUCUGACCAGACAGUAUACAUCGGAAGCGGGUAGGAGGAGUAUAUUCCUUACUAGUGGAUGUAGCUGGUCUUUUCUCUUUUGAUCUUAGGGAUCCUUCUGCUGCUGCUGCUGCUAAGUCGCUUCAGUCAUGUCCGACUCUGUUCAACCCCAUAGACGGCAGCCCACCAGGCUCCCCCGUCCCUGGGAUUUUCCAGGCAAGAGUGCUGGAGUGGGGUGCCAUUGACUUCUCCUAAGGAUCUUUCUAGUUGGUUGAAAAAGACCUAUUUUUAAAUCCCUUCAGUGACCUGUCCUCCUUGCCACUAAUAUCUUCCACAUCUCAGCUUGUUGUGAAGGGAUGGCCCAGGUGAGCCAAAACAGCUAUGCAUCUGCCACUCAGGCUCUUUCCCUAGGCUGCUUCUCAUUCUAACUGUACCAACUCCACCCAGUUCCUUAGGGUUUCUUAACUCCCUUCAGCAGACGUCAGCUACAUACUCUGGACUCAUGAUUCAGCUUGAACUGGGUAGGCACAUUUUUUUUUUUUUUUAAAAGCAAAAAAGAGGGAUACCAAUCAAAAGAAAAAAGAAAUAAUAAGAGUUUGGGGACAUUCAGUAUUGCAAUGGGAAAUUGGGGAACUGGGCUGUGGAGGGGCAUAUUCUCCCUCAGUGCAUUUUGAAUUGAUUUUCAGAGAUAGAGAUGGGCUCUACAAUAAGGGCUGAGUAUUACCAAACAAGGACUCCCUGCCCUAUGAACAGAGAAGCCCAUACUAUGGCAGUGGCUUUCAAGAAAAGAAAGAGCUUUACUGUGAGGUUGACAGGCAAAAAAGGCAUGAGGCAAAGCUCUCAAAUUUGUCUCCCUGAUCCAGGGUUAAGGUGAAAUUUAAAGGGCUAGAGGAAUUUCAAAUGUGGAAGCUGAUUGGCUAGUCUUAGAAUUAGUCCAUAUAGGCUACUAGUCCUGCUGGAAGCCAAGUUUUCCUAAUUGAAAAUUUUCUUGCUUGGUAAAGAGCUCCAGUGGCAACAUUUUCACUCUUUUGAGUUUUGUAGACUGAAGAUUCUUGAUUCCAGGGUAAUCUUGGGGAUGUGGGUUCCUGUUUUGCACAUGUCUAGUGCUGUGUCUCUGUAAAGUAACUUAAGAUCUGAUUAAUCAACAACCUGUGCAGCAAAACUCUUUUCAGCUGGUGCUGUUUCACUUAAUUGACAAGCUAUUUAAGGAGGCAAAACCGGUUCAAACUGGUGCACUUUCAAGAGAGAACAGAGAAGGGAUGCAGAGCUGCUGCUGACUCUCCACUUUGCUUUUUUUGUCCUACAUUGGAGGAAACUGGUGUGUUCAAACUUUGGUCUACUGGAAUCAGUUUGUCUGAAGGGAAAUGCUUCACUGAAUGGUUAUAAUUCAGCUCCAAACCUCACUGCCAUUCCCACAGUGACUCAUCGAGAGCAGGAGGAUGCUGGGAAAAUCUUUUAGGCCAUUUGGAGGAGUGCUUGAAUAAGUGGUUUAACACCUGUUCACAGACUACUCACCACCCUCUGACCCUCAUCCACCAAGCCCUUUGGUAUUUCAUGGAAGACUUUAUUGGAGCUGGCCAGUGUUGGGUGCCUUGUGAAUUCUAUGCAUAAUUUAGCAAAUUUACCAAUGUUUGCCACCAUGUGUUCUAGCCCUGACUCUGGGACUUCAAGACUCCAGCCAUAUUUUAGAGCCUUUGACUUUCAUUUGUCCAUCCAGUUCUGUAAAUAUUGACAAAAUGAGGCUCUUAAAUACAGUAAAAUGGGCUCAGAUGAAUAACAAAUCUAUAGUGAAGAUGCCUAAGUCUCUCAGUAAACCUCAAACAAAUCCUGGGAAAGUUUCCUAACGUAGUUUCUUUGUGUCCCUUUCCCACCUCCUAGGGCAGGGCAGAGAACCUGGAUGAGAGACAUGGAUAAAGGGAUAUUUUAUGAAAUCUUUUAGACACUGACAUUUCAUGAAUUUCUUCUUUUGAGUGAGGAAUGGAGCAAGAUUUUGCACUUGCCUUAUUGUUAUUAAUCCCAAAGUUAGGCCUACAAGCAGUGUCCUUGGGGACACAGUUUCCCUGGGCUUGGGGUGUCAAGUCAGCACAGAGGUGACAAAAUUAACUUUGGAAGUCCCUUAAUGCACCCAUACAGGACAGUGUUACUAGUUUUUGUGCCUAAAAUCCUGCAAGUAAUUUUUGUGUACCUUCAAGUAUGAGAACCACUGUGAGGAGGAACAGAGUAGGUGUGCAGCUCUGAGGAAUUCAAACCAACCUGUCUUUAAAAUCACCAUCAAAACCUUAGUAUGACUGGGGGAUGAGCUGGCAUUCCCAAAAUGACCCUGACAGCCUACAGGCUUUAGUCAACCCUGUUUUUAUAUUGAGCCUUUCUAACCUUAAUGCAGUGUUACAGAUUGAUUAUGAUUGCUAAGCUUAAACUAGGAAGCGGAGUCACAUCUCGGAGGACGGGGGCAGGGGAGAGUGGGUGGGUUUAGUCUCCCAAACUUGCAAGCCUGCGCUAAAUUAGACCUUGAUGCAGCUUCACUGUACUCAAGAAAGCAAUGGAAUUCUUGGGCAAACCAGGGCAGUUUGUGGAUAUAAAAUGACUUUAAAAAUUAAAUGCUGUAGUGAAUUCAAAUGUUCAAACUCAGAGUUCCUCAGAGUGGAGGAGAAAUCCCUAUAAUAGAGGCCUUUCUCUCUCCUUUCACUUCUCCCCCUCCAUCUUAUUGUAUCUUCAAUUAUCUGGGUAAUUUGGUCCUGAGGGCAUAAAUUCCUUUAUAACUCAAAUCCAUUAUGCAGAGAAGAGUCAUCAGGAAAUUACUCAGAUUGCAUCCCUGAUGGUGUGAAGGUUUUGGAGCAGAUCCGGCAUCCCAUUAGCAAAGCACUGCUCUUGAAUUCAGAUUUGAGCCUGGAGGCUGGACAUCCAUGCUCUUCCCUUCGCCCCUCUUUGUUUCAGCAAGGGCCGCCUGUAGGGAAGUCCCGUGCUGGUGCUGGCUGGCGGCAGCUUCUCUCCAUCCGAGGCCACGGCUGCUGCCAGCUUCCCUUGGCUGGCGUAGACACCUUCUCUCCAGGCCAGGGAGAGCCGCUGCCAGGCGGGCAGACGUAUGCUUUCAUCAUGUCUCACCAUCUCCUGGAGCCAGGCACCCAGGCCUUUUAAUUCCUGUAAAACUCGGGUCUUUCUGGUGGAGAGCUGGUUUUCAUAUCUGUGGCCUGACGGGGAUCGUCCUUGUGCUGCUGCUGGUGGUCUGUGAGCAGCCUGCCUUUGAGCUGACAGGCCCUCAACCAAAAUGCAAACAUAUUCAAGUUCAAUUUUGGAAGAGGACAUUCUAAGUCUGGCAACCUCUGUCAUCUGGCUUCAUUCUUUCUAGAUUUCUGGUUUACUAGGGAUAUUCAGUUUGGUUUUAUUAUUUGUGUAUACAGGUUUUCCCUCUCCCCCCGCCCCCACCCCUGCUCACCCCUGCAAAGUGACGACUUUGAGGAAGGCAGCAUGUAGAAGGAUCUUAGAUUAUGGUUCAGGCAGACCUGUGUCUAUUGCUCUUUGUGUCUUCCCUCACAAUUAAGUAAAUACUGUAAGAGAGAAUUUUGUGUAUUUCAAUCUCUGCUGUGUCCCCAGUGUCUGGCAUUGUGCCAGGCACAUAGUAGGUGAUCCAUGAGGAAUUAAAGUGCACGAGGAAAAGAAUGGGCUAGCAUGCUGUGCUCUAAUUAGCAGCUUUGUGAUUUUAGGAAGAAUUCUUUUAAAUGCCAUUUUUCAUUUUGUCACCUGCAAAAUGGUCAUGAAAUGUGUAAGACCAUAGAGAAAGUACCUGGCUAGUGCUGUGUUCAACAAAUGGUAGGGUUUCCCUCUUCCAUUUGUCAACCGUAGAGUGAACUCUUCAAGGACAAACACCUAGUUUGAUUCUCCAUUUCCCAGGCCUAGCACUGCUCCUGCACAGAGUGGGUGUUCCAUAACGACUUGUUGAAUGAAUCUAGUCCUCCAUGGGAAGCGGGUGCUUGGGGAUCAGUGAAGUUGACUACUGAGGACAGGCCUAGAAAAGUUACCUUUCUAUUGUGUCUCAUUCUGGUAUCUGUUUCUAUGUGAGGGAAAUGAAUAGAGAAUUCUCUCCAGAUCAUCUGGAUCUAUGGAUUAUGUGAUGAUUUGAAAAGGAAUUUUUUACUGAAAUUUCUUCUUUUCAGUCAAAAAAGACCACUCAUAGGAUAAAAGGCCAGGCCUUGCAGUGAUUUGCUGACCACACUCUACAUAUUUUGGAAGUUUGAUACUUUAUGUGUAAUUUCUUGCACAUUUGUAAUGUUAGGUCACGUGACCCAUUCCGUGAGUUAACACACCUGCUACUGUUACACCCAUUUGACAAGGAAGAAAAGUAGAGGCAGGACAUGGAGAUUUGCCAAAGUCAGACACUUAUUUAGUGGUGCUAAGUUAGAAACUGCAUUUCCUCACCCCAAACUCGCCUCACUAGAGCAUGUAGCUUCUGUGAGUAUUGAGCUGAAAGGAGGAUACAGAUGUUUUGCACUCCUGUUCCCUUUGUCAAUGUUACUUAUUUGCAAAAUCUUGCCUUUUUUUCUGUUACUUGACCCAAGGUCUGUAUCUGCCACACCACUUACAAAUUGCUCCAAUCUCUAUUUUUGUUGUUAUGCCUGACAUAUAGUCACUUUCUCAGCUUGCAGCUCAAUUAAUCAUGCUCGUGUAAUUUUGAAGGGAACUUUUGUGUUCGUUUAAAUUUGGAAGGUGUUGAAGAAUCACUUACAGCUUUCAGCACUACUUUCUCCAGAUAUGACCCAGCUGAGAAUGUCUAUUUGAUUUACUGUGUUAAGUUGUGUCUAUUUCGUUUUUCAAGAGGGGCUAGCCUUAUUAAUUUUAUUCUAUUUGGGGGAAUAAUUAAUUUUAUUCUAUUUUAUGGAAUCUAUAUUAUUUAUAAUUUAUUUAUAUUUAUAAUUCAUUUAUUUAUAAUUUUAUUCUAUUUGGGGGAAUAAUUAAUUUUACUCUAUUUUGGGCUUCCCUUGUGGCUCAGCUGGUAAAGAAUCCACUUGCAAUGCAGGAGACCUGGGUUCGAUCCCUGGGUUGGGAAGAUCCCCUGGAGAAGAGAAAGGGUACUCACUCCUGUAUUCUUACCUGGAGAAUUCCAUGGACUGACUCAUGGGUUGCAAAGAGUUGGAAACAACUGAAUGACUUUCAUUUUCAAUUUUGGGAAAAAAGAGAAGAAUAUAUUUAUUCCUAUAUCAGAAGAUAUUCCUAUGCUGGUAAUUCAAGGCCAAAUUUUUUUUGUUAACCUCUGAUAAAAUAACAUGUAAACUGAAUGCAAAUCAAGUGUGACCUAAGACUUAUUAUAUUAUUGACAAUUCUGGUCCCAUCCAAAGCCACAGAAGAUAAUAAAUUAAGUACUUCUUCACGUAGUAUUGGUGAUGUUCAAUGCAAACUCUUUUGAAGAUGAAAUGGAACAUUUUUAUGAAGAGGGAUGAAUGAAAUACAAUAAGCUACUGUGGAGAUAAUUACUAGAAUGGAGGUAAAAUAGGUACCUUGGUGAUUCUUCUCUAGUGUUGCCAUAGGUAUGGUCAUUUAGAUGCAGCAUGAUGCCUCAAGCUAUAGAAUGCUAGCUCAAGGGUACCAAAGUGUAGACAAUUCUAUACUCAGUUCAUAUGUUUAUUCUUCAUUCCAUUGGACUAACAACUUCCACAUCAAGAAUGUGUUUUCAUGACUUAGUAUAGACCCUACAGUGGUGUUUGAGGUCCUCGCUUUAACUAGUGCCCUCCCAACCUCAUCUUGCUUUGCUCACUGCACUCUCUCUCCAGUGGCUUUCUUUCUUCUUACUUCAGCACAUCAAGCUUGUUUUCAUCAUAGGGUUUGUGCCAGUCCU
ensembl:lncRNA